UUUAAGGUCUAACCUGCCCAAUGAUUAUUUAAAUGGCCGCGGUACUUUGACCGUGCAAAGGUAGCAUAAUAAUUAGUUUCUUAAUUGGAAGCUGGAAUGAACGGUUGGACGAGGGAGCUACUGUCUCGGAUUAAUUUUAUUUUAGAAUUUUAUUUUUGAGUUAAAAAGCUCAAAUUUAUUUAAAAGACGAGAAGACCCUAUAGAGUUUUAUAAUAAUAGAUUUUGUAUAUUUUUAGAAUUUAAUUUUGUAUUAUUUUUAUUAUUAUUUUGUUGGGGUGAUGGGAAAAUUGAAUUAACUUUUCUUUUAUUUUUUCAUUAAUUUAUGUUUUUUUGAUCCAUUAUUUAUGAUUAAAAGAUUAAAUUACCUUAGGGAUAACAGCGUAAUUUUUUUUUAGAGUUCUUAUCGAAAGAAGAGUUUGCGACCUCGAUGUUGGAUUAAAAUUUAUGUUAGGUGUAGGGGCUUAACAAUUAGGUCUGUUCGACCUUUAGAAUUUUACA
rnacentral:rRNA from 1 species